UACAGGGGGUGCAAACGUUGCUCGGAAUUACUGGGCGUAAAGCGCACGUAGGCGGCUUUGUAAGUUAGAGGUGAAAGCCUGGGGCUCAACCCCAGAAUUGCCUUUAAGACUGCAUCGCUUGAAUCCAGGAGAGGUGAGUGGAAUUCCGAGUGUAGAGGUGAAAUUCGUAGAUAUUCGGAAGAACACCAGUGGCGAAGGCGGCUCACUGGACUGGUAUUGACGCUGAGGUGCGAAAGCGUGGGGAGCAAACAGG
rnacentral:rRNA from 1 species